CAGCCGCCGCGGGAAUACGGAGGGUGCAAGCGUUAAUCGGAAUUACUGGGCGUAAAGCGCACGCAGGCGGUCUGUCAAGUCAGAUGUGAAAUCCCCGGGCUUAACCUGGGAACUGCAGUUGAAACUGGCAGGCUAGAGUCUUGUAGAGGGGGGUAGAAUUCCAGGUGUAGCGGUGAAAUGCGUAGAGAUCUGGAGGAAUACCGGUGGCGAAGGCGGCCCCCUGGACAAAGACUGACGCUCAGGUGCGAAAGCGUGGGGAGCAAACAGGAUUAGAUACCCCGGUAGUCCCUGUCUCUUAUAC
rnacentral:rRNA from 1 species